rnacentral:misc_RNA from 1 species
GAUGAAGAACGCAGCGAAAUGCGAUAAGUAAUGUGAAUUGCAGAAUUCAGUGAAUCAUCGAAUCUUUGAACGCACAUUGCGCCCCUUGGUAUUCCGGGGGGCAUGCCCGUUCGAGCGUCAUUACACCCAUCAAGCCCGGCUUGGUCUUGGGCGACGGGGGGGAGACCCCGCCCGCGCCGUUAAACUCUUCAUCACAGGUUGACCUCGGAUCGGGUAGGGAUACCCGCUGAACUUAAGCAUAUCAAUAAGCGGAGGA